UGCGGUGGCUAUAUCAGUGGGGAUCCACCUCUUACCAUUCCGAACAGAGAAGUUAAGCCCACCCAAGCCGAUGGUACUGCUACACCAAGUGGGAGAGUAGGUCGCCGCCGCUU
rnacentral:rRNA from 1 species